AUCGUGUGACUGGAACAUUAUUUCUCACUCUCGUUAUUAACAUGGGGAAAGAUUAAAACGAUAGAGAGAAUAACUGUACAUUUCUAAUAUAGAAAAUAAUAUGAGUCCCCAUCACAAGAGUAUUGGACUGUUUAUUUAUAAAUAAACGAGAAAAUUGUUUUUUUUUUCAAGAAAUUUAUGAAUUAUUUCCUUAAAGUCAUGUCGCCAUUUUAAACCAUAUACAGAAACUUCAUUUAUUAACAAUUUGUUAUAAUCGUUAAUACACAGAUCAAAAAUUGAAUGUAAAUUUGUGUAAAUUUUUGUUAAAAAUUUGUUGUGAAAGUUCUUUUACAUUGGGUAAAUCGCAAUUCAGUGAUCAAUAAUUCAUUUGAAAGCGCAAACCUUGGCGCCAUUUGUAAGAAGUUGAAAAGUGUGAUCUUAAUUUAAAUAAAUAUUUUAUUUGUAAAUAUUGCUCGUACAUUCCGUAAUAAUAUACAUUUUAUUAAUGUAGAAAUUCAGAUAUGCAAAAUAAAAGUGUUAUUAUUAACAUCUGUUUUCCGUUUAAUGAAACGGCGCAGUUGGUUAUUAAAGAGCACUUAAUUUAACAACAACAGAGUAUUUUAAAUGGUAAUUAUACAAACAAUAAUAUCCGUCGAAUAGACAAUUUAUCAUGAAAACUAUGAAACGAAAUAUCCAUUUAUGACAGACCGUUAUUAAACCGAUGAAAUUAGUAUAACCGCUCUACGUUUAACAUGGAUGAAUACGUAGAUUUGUUACUUGCAAGACGAAAAGAUUGUGAUAUUUUAUGGGCUUCUCGAUCUAUGGAUCCACUAUUACCACAUAAACUUUCUUUAGAAUCUAAAUAUUCCAGACAUCAAAUGAUCGAGGCAGUAUUAAACGAUGAAAAAGUUAAAUUAGCGAUUACAACUUUGGCUGCAGUACAGCAUGAGAGCAUAAAUAAAGUUGUAAAAGAUGCUCGUGUAAUGAUUAAUGAAAUGGCCAGUAAAGCAUGCCUAGCUACCGUUCGCUGGUUAGGUAUCAUUAUUACAAAAGUUCUUAAAAGAAUUUUCUUAAGUAUUUACAUAAAUGAGUCUACAUUAUUGAGACUACAAAAGGAAAUGCAAAUUUCUCAAGUUCAAUAUGUUUAUGUCCCUUCUCACAGAAGUUAUUUAGAUUUCAUAUUAUUAUCAUAUGUUUUGUUUUCUUAUGAUAUGGCUCUUCCAAAUAUUGCAAGUGGUAUGGACUUUUAUCAGAUGCAUGUAAUAGGAGAACUGUUAAGAAAAACAGGAGCUUUUUAUAUGCGACGUAGCUUUUCUAAUGAUUUAUUAUACAAACGAGUAUUUCAGUCAUAUGUAAUGUCUCUAGUAGAGCACAGUGAUAGAGCAAUAGAAUUUUUUAUUGAAGGUACUCGCAGUAGAAGUUUGAAAAGUAUAAUACCAAAAUUUGGUCUUUUGUCAACCAUUUUAGAAAGUUUACUAGAAGGUGGAGUACCUGACAUUCAUUUUAUACCUAUAAGUAUCAGUUAUGAACGACCACCAGAAGAACUGUUAUUUGCAUAUGAACUUUUGGGUGUCCCAAAACCAAAAGAAUCUACAGUUGGCCUUCUUCAGUCUUUAUCCAUUUUACAGAAACCAUCUGCUUAUGGGUCUGUUUUCUUUAAUAUUGGUGAGCCUAUUUCUGCUUGCAACUUCUUAAACAUGGAAGACCGUAAAGCAAGAGUGUUAUCACCUUACGUAAAACUGCCAUCAACUGUUCUUGAAAAAUUGGCAUACUGUGUAAUUGAUUCACAUAAAAAGAAUACUGUUCUUAUGCCUUUUAAUUUAAUUGCUUUGCUGUUCAAUGAAAGGAGCCAAGUGAAUCUUGAUAAUCCAUAUACAUUAGAUAGUUUAGUUAAUGAUUAUGUUUGGUGUAAAAACCUUUUACAAACAUUUAAUGCAACUGUACAUUCAACAAAGUCAUACGAUUUAAAUGAUAUGAGACAAGAAAUAUUAAAUGCUCUGAAAACUCAGGAAGAAUUACUCACACUUGAUCCAUUAGAAAUUUUAAGAUUGAAACAAAGACACAGAGGAACAAAGCUACAAAUUAAUACACGCAUUAAAGGCCAUACUCUUUCAGAGAAAAUAAUGCAAAUAGCAGUACCAGUUAUCAACAUGUCAAUUUAUUUAAACCCAACUCUUUCUUUUCUAAUAAAACCUGCUAUGGUGACAUUAGCAAUAGGAAAAGAAGGAGUUGAAUACGGUUGUGGUUUUGAACGAUAUGCAUUACUCAAAACAAUACUAAGCACAGAAUUUGCAAUGCCCCUAAUAGAUGAUGAGUCUCUGAUAAAGUUAGAAUGGGAAGAAACAUUAAAUGUUCUGUUGAGACUUAAUUAUAUAAGUAUCCAGGAUGACAAAUAUACUGAAGGACAGAACUCACAAGUAUUUUCUCUUUUGUAUAAUGUACUACUACCAUUUAUAGAUGCCAUAUAUGUCACAUAUCUUGUCUUGUUUGAGUGGGAUGAAUCAACCGAUAUAACAAUACAAGCUGUUUCAACUGAAGCUCAAAAACGGAUAGAACAAGCAUUUUUUAAUGGAAAUGAAUGGGGGAAACAUCCUUAUUCAUUAUGCCUUGAUUUAUUUUCUACAUCGAUAAAUAAUCUCCUAGUGCAAGGCAUUUUAGUGCCAGCCGAAAGACGGUGUACAUACCAAAUUGAUAAAAUUCGAUUGGCAUUACUUCUUGAAAAAUUGCAAAAUCUUUCGUUGAAACGACCGCCAAUUUCAUAUCGUGAUAUUGUAUUGUUAUCUUUUACACCGCCAGCUAUGCCGGCCAAGCUAUAAACAUAAGUAAAACUUCUCUAAAACCUUCACUACAGUAAGUUGAACUGGUUAAACCAAGGAUUUAUUUAACUCUUAAAAUUUUGUAAUGCAAUUCGCAUCACAGCCAUUAAUCUAGUCGAUACGUGAUCAUCUUUUAAAAUUAUUAAUUCCUUUUAUAAAUUUUUCAUAGUAAAUUAUUUAAUAUAUUACAAUUGCGAGUCGAUUAAAAAUUAGAGGUGUAUUUGUCCACGAUAUUGAGUAUUUUAACUGUCUCUUCGUCAAAUGCGUUUAUGGAUUUUCUCCUUCUACCGAGGAGUAGAGUUGUUCCAGUGGGGUUCGGUGUUGGAUUAUUCAUGUUUCUAAAUAAAAGCUAAAAAAGAUAAUUACAUGAGAAGACAAGUAUAUGAUUAUUUGCAAUAUCGUAAUGAAUUGUAUACAGUUAAGUUAAUAAUACCAUAACUAAUCGAACAAGGUAUACUGCAAACGUGAGAAAUGAGAUAGCCAUCAGUGCACCUUCUAAAGAUGGAAAUCCUGUGGCAUUAUCGUGAGAAUCAUAACUGUGAUCAUAAUGAUCUGUGCCUCUUUUUUUUCUACCGGGUAUUAGAGUCUGCGUGAGUCGAGAUUCUUAAACAAUAAUUAUAAUGCUGGUUAGGAAAGAAUCUUCUUCAUUGGUAUACUCAUGAAUCGUAGUGUCGCUAUCAGAAUUCUUAAGCUCGUGCACCACGAAUCUUCCACUUCCGUUCACCGAAAUUUCUUCGCUUGAGUCUUCGCGAGGAUCAUUAUUAUACAUGAAAGGAAAUUGAUUUUCCGCAGGGUUUUGGGAAAAUGGAAAUGGUUUAUGGAAAUGGUCCAGUUUCGAGGGGGGUAUUCUAUGUGUAAAAGGUGUAAGAUUUUUAAUAAAGUAUUUAUAUGGAUUUUUUCAUCUAUUCUAAUAUAAUUCUUCACACAUACCUGUAUAUCUUCUUUUCAUCGGAAAACUGUGGCAUAUCAAUCCAUUCUGCCAAACUGAUGUUCCAUAAGAAUAUGCUCAGUAUACUUGAUAUUAACAUUUUUAAGUUGAAUAAAAAAAUUUAUUAUUGUUCCGUCUUUACUGAAAUGACGUAAAUAAUAUUUUCACACAAUAAAAACGGGAAAUAUCAGUUUAUUUGUUGUGCAAAUGUCGCGUUCAAGAAAAUGCACGGAUAUCGUGUAUUUGAAUUAUUACAGUGACUAACUGAGAACGUUCUCGGAUACGUAGUGUGACACUCAGCAGGAUGUUAUUAUUUCAAGCAGAAGUUCUGUUAGAAUUAACGAGGACAAGACGAACAAUGAUAUAUUCUCUAUAAUGAUGUCAAUCGACGGAUUUCCUUAAAACGUUGUGAAAGUUUUACAUAAUCUUUUUAAAAUUUAUAACGCUAAGUAUCAUUCAUAAUUUAUUUAUUCACAUUAUUAUAAGUACAAUAAUGAUUUAACAUUUUAACAUUUUUAUGAAAAUUUGUUAAUUUCACUUAAAAUCUAUAAUCUGUUAUAAUUUAUUACUGCAUUUCAUUUAAGUACUUUUUAUCUGGUAAUUGUAUAAUUGCAAGUGAUGUAAAUAAAUGGAACGCAUUAUUAGCUCUUAUGGAACAGAAUGCACGUGUAAACAUUUUUAAACAUUCUUGGAACAAUAAAAAUUUUUUUAAAAUAUAUAUGCAACAAAUAUCUAAGUAGUUAAAUGACACAUUAGACUCAUCUUUUACAACAAAUAGUGGGAAAACAUAACAUGAACCAUAUAUCAAAUUGUUACUGAUAUUACAUUUGCAUAUAUAAAACAUUCUAUGCAUAAUAAUACCAAUCUAAAUUGCAGAAAUUCUCCUACACAUAAUAAACAUAUAAUUCUUGAAAAAUGUUGCACUCAUAUCUAUACUUAUUAUACCAAAAUUAUGCAAAAACUGUGUUCCAUAAAAUAUUUUGCUAUCAUAAAAAUAAGCAUUACAAUAAACGCAGUAUACGCAUCACAUAGGUAAAAAAAUUAUUGUACAAUGAUUUUUUAAUAACAUAGGCCGUGUCAUGCAUGUACAUACACUCUACAUUACAUUAAUCAAAUAUAUAUGUAC